rnacentral:rRNA from 1 species
CCCUUAGAUGUUCUGGGCUGCACGCGCGCUACACUGAUGCGCUCAACGAGUUUUAACCUUGCCUGGAAAGGUUGGGUAAUCUUUUUAAAACGCAUCGUGAUGGGGAUAGAUUAUUGCAAUUAUUGAUCUUAAACGAGGAAUUCCUAGUAAACGCAAGUCAUCAGCUUGCAUUGAUUACGUCCCUGCCCUUUGUACACACCGCCCGUCGCACCUACCGAUUGAAUGGUCCGGUGAAAUCUCCGGACUGGCGUGAGUCGGAGCAAUCUGACAAACACCGGAAAGUUGAUUAAACCUUACCAUUUAGAGGAAGGUGAAGUCGUAACA